rnacentral:rRNA from 1 species
GACGAACGCUGGCGGCGUGCUUAACACAUGCAAGUCGAACGGUGAAGGGAUCAGCUUGCUGGUUCUGGAUGAGUGGCGAACGGGUGAGUAACGCGUGAGUAACCUGCCCCCUUCUUCUGGAUAACCGCAUGAAAGUGUGGCUAAUACGGGAUAUUCUGGGUCUGUCGCAUGGCGGGCCUGGGAAAGAUGCGCCUUUGGGUGUUUUUGGUGGGGGAUGGGCUCGCGGCCUAUCGGCUUGUUGGUGGGGUGAUGGCCUACCAAGGCGGUGACGGGUAGCCGGCCUGGGAGGGUGGACGGUCACACUGGGACUGAGACACGGCCCAGACUCCUACGGGAGGCAGCAGUGGGGAAUAUUGCACAAUGGGCGCAAGCCUGAUGCAGCGACGCCGCGUGAGGGAUGGAGGCCUUCGGGUUGUAAACCUCUUUCGCCAGUGAAGCAGGCCUGCUCCUUGUGGGUGGGUUGACGGUAGCUGGAUAAGAAGCGCCGGCUAACUACGUGCCAGCAGCCGCGGUAAUACGUAGGGCGCGAGCGUUGUCCGGAAUUAUUGGGCGUAAAGAGCUCGUAGGCGGCUGGUCGCGUCUGUCGUGAAAUCCUCUGGCUUAACUGGGGGCUUGCGGUGGGUACGGGCCGGCUUGAGUGCGGUAGGGGGAGACUGGAACUCCUGGUGUAGCGGUGGGAAUGCGCAGAUAUCAGGAAGAAACACCGGGUGGCGAAGGCGGGUCUCUGGGCCGUUACUGACGCUGAGGAGCGAAAGCGUGGGGAGCGAACAGGAAUAAUACCCUAUAUUCCAGGGCUAAUUUCACAGGGAUAUCAAGGUUAUCAUACCGUCACCUCCAGGGGGGGCCGGACCCCACUUUUGUUCCACUUAUGAAGGGAUAAUAGCGACUAGUGAUCAGG